GAUUAACGCUAGCGGCAGGCCUAAUACAUGCAAGUCGAACGGUAACAGGUGUAGCAAUACAUGCUGACGAGUGGCGCACGGGUGCGUAACACGUAAGUAAUCUACCUUCGAGUGGGAGUAACGUCCGGAACGGACGCUAAUACCGCAUAACGCAGCGGCAUCGCAAGAAUGACAGUUGUUUAAAGAAUUUAUUCGCUUGAAGAGGAGGCUUGCGGC
rnacentral:rRNA from 1 species